UACGUAGGGGGGCUAGCGUUGUCCGGAUUUAUUGGGCGUAAAGAGCGUGUAGGCGGCCAGGUAGGUCUGGUGUGAAAACUCGAGGCUUAACCUCGAGAUGUCAUCGGAAACCAUCUGGCUAGAGUCCGGAAGAGGAGAGUGGAAAUUCCUGGUGUAGCGGUGAAAUGCGCAGAUAUCAGGAAGAACACCAAUGGCGAAAGCAGCUCUCUGGGACGGUACUGACGCUGAGACGCGAAAGCGUGGGGAUCAAACAGG
rnacentral:rRNA from 1 species